GAUCCUACGGGACGCAGCAGUGGGGAAUAUUGGGCAAUGGGCGCAAGCCUGACCCAGCAACGCCGCGUGAAGGAAGAAGGCUAUCGGGUUGUAAACUUUUUUUUUUGGGGACGAAGAAAGUGACGGUACCCAAGGAAUAAGCCACGGCUAACUACGUGCCAGCAGCCGCGGUAAUACGUAGGUGGCAAGCGUUAUUCGGAUUUAUUGGGUGUAAAGGGCGUGUGGGCGGGAUUGCAAGUCAGAUGUGA
rnacentral:rRNA from 1 species